AGGCCUCUCUCACUGUUGUGGCCUCUCCCGUUGUGGAGCACAGGCUCCGGACGCGCAGGCUCAGCGGCCAUGGCUCACGGGCCCAGCCGCUCCGCGGCAUGUGGGAUCUUCCUGGACCGGGGCAUGAACCCAUGUCCCCUGCAUUCGGCAGGUGGACUCUCAACCACUGCGCCACCAGGGAAGCCCAAAAUAAUGUAAUUUUUAAAGUAUGUCUUUUGCUGUUCUGAUGAGCAGAAUUUAUUAUAGACCUAGUUUGUUGUGUGUAUGAAUGUGUGUGUGUGUGUGGUGGGGGGGGUGAUCUUGGAUACACAGAGUUAAAUUUAACGUUUUAAAUUAAUCACAUGGUUGACAUCUGCUAUGACCAGGGCCCCUUCCCAGGUAUUGCAGAGGACACAGUUGUUAUGAGACACAGACCUUGUUUACAGAAGGCCUACAUCAGAUGUGGAAAAAAGGCUUAAACAUGUGGAAAAGUCAAUGACAAUCCCCAUAGCAAGCUGACAGGUUUUUCCAGAAGUCCUUACAUGAUGUUCCGUUCAUGUAAUCUGAUGACCAGAAGAUGCUUCUUGAGAGGACCUGUCCACUUGAAAACAUCUUAGUCAGUCUUUUUUGGGAUGUUGUCUGUCUUUAGGUAAUAACCGUGUGUCACAGGAAUCUGCAGAGCUUAAUACCUCUGUUGAAGCUCGGGGAUAAGAGCUGCAAAGAUGCACGGAUGGAGAGCUGACGUCAGCCUGGCAGUUGGAAAGGUCUACUGUGACAAGCUGCUCCCAAGGUGCACUAAGCUGUGAGGCAGCACCGCCUUGUCUUUCUCUAGGGAACCCCUGCGUUCCAGACCUAGAUUCCGCACGCACAUCCCUAACCUGGCUCUUAUUAGCAUCGUGACUUGUGUUAGUGUUUAGCACCCUUAUUCAAGAAUUAAAAUCAUACUGCAUAUAAAAUGUGAGAUCAGACAUGCUUCCUCUCCAGUGGUCUAGAGAGUCACACAAAAGAAAUUGAGAAGUAUUUUAGGAGAGGGUGAAAGUAGUGGAGGGGGAAAGAAGUAAUCAUUUCAGGAUUUUCCUAGAGAAAUUAUAAAGGAACUUCGCCAGAAGUCCCAAAGGGAGUAGGUUGAAGUAACUUGCCACUCCGACAAAGGAAAACCAACUGAUUAUGAAUUCAGUUCAGCGAAGGGCCCGGCUCUGCUAGUCUCAUCACUACAGCCCUAGAUGGCCCGGGUUCCUCUUCCUUCAUCACCUGCCCCGAUUGUUUCCUUGUAUUGUGUAUAAUUUUAUGAGCUUUGUGAUUAAGUUGGAGAAAAAUGAGACUACUAUUUAAGGACUCUUAGUAUUGUCUUAAAAUAAUGUAUACUUCUGUCUACUCUAGAUCAUUACUCAGUGUAGAACUUGGAGCUCUUUACCUAAUUCUCAGCUAUUCUAAGACAGCAAAUUUACAAUGUCUUCAAUUGGUCUAAACACAUAUGGACAUUUGGAAGAUGAAAUAUUAUUGCUGCUGUUACUGAAUUUGCUGAAUACUCUUUCUAGUUACAGAGUAAAUCUGACUGUGGAGAUUAAUUAAGCAACAUAUGUUCAGUAAAAUCAUCAUCUUAAGAGUCAGAAAGUUAACACUACAUAUAAAAUUAUGAAUGUUAAAGUAGCACAUAUAAUUUUCCUUGAUCAUAAAUGACUAAUUUUGGUAGAAUUAUAUGCCAUUUUAAAAAUCUGCUUUAUUGCAGUGUAAUCUAUGUACAAUUAAAAUUCACCCAUUUAAA